rnacentral:rRNA from 1 species
UACGGAGGGGGCUAGCGUUGUUCGGAAUUACUGGGCGUAAAGCGCGCGUAGGCGGACCUGCAAGUCGGGGGUGAAAGCCCGAGGCUCAACCUCGGAACUGCCUUCGAUACUGCGGGUCUCGAGUCCGGGAGAGGUGAGUGGAAUUCCUAGUGUAGAGGUGAAAUUCGUAGAUAUUAGGAAGAACACCAGUGGCGAAGGCGGCUUUCUGGGACGGUACUGACGCUGAGACGCGAAAGCGUGGGGAGCGAACAGG